CUCCUAACAAACGGUAACAAUCAUAUUAGCUAAAUCAAGUCCCAUUACACACGACUCCAUAGAUCGGAAUUACAAUAUAGGACUGAUCCAUUCUUCAUUUCUUCUCAGAAGAAUGUGGCUUUCACAUUGUAGGAUCUACAAUUCAUGACAAAAAGUAAGCAUUCAACAUUCACAUGUAAUUAUUUCCAAGGGUUCAAUUUAGCAAUCUCUACCAUCUAAAAGGCUGACUCAGCUACACAUACAUGAAUAAUUCUGCAUUUAGACUACUAAAAUAAUAAUAUGGUAACCUGAUAUGCGUGGAUUGUCUAGGACCAAAUAUUUACAAUUUCAGACAAACAUCGAAGCUCAGUCAUCAGAUGAUCUGAAUCAGGCCUCUAUAGUUAGAUCUGGUACAGAUAAAUGUAAUGAAUCUGAGCUUAGAUUGAACAUUUGCUUUGAAGUACGCUCACUUUUAUGAUGAACUCUCACUGAUUUAUUUGGAAUUUUAUGAACGUGAUUGGCCCCAAAAUAUCUUCAAUUCAAACGGCUGUUCCCAUUUCUUGAGACUUGACUAGUUCUUCAA
rnacentral:misc_RNA from 1 species